rnacentral:lncRNA from 1 species
CGUUUUGUAUGCAAGUGUGACAUGUGUGGAGAAGAACCUCCUAGCUAGCAUUCCAUCCAUAAGUUUCAUUCAAAUUUAUUUACAAUCUGUUUUGUUUUACAAAGUUUGUUUUGUUUUCAAAUUCGUCAAGAACCAAUCUCCCAUUUAUUUCAAAUUGUUAGAUUAGGCAGUAAUCACUUUAGUUUGUGUUUUUAAGUGUCUUGAGUCAAGUCAUAACCCAAUUUCGUCCAAUUUAGUGUUAGGUGUUCAAAACUGCCCAGAAAGUGUUUUUAAGGCAAUUUUGAUUGUUUAUUUGCUGUUUUGAAUCUUUUUGUUUAUCUUAUUAUUUUAAAGUAUAGUUUUGCAUUCUUUGAGUCUAGUUUAGUGUUUUAAACUUUGUUUUUACGUUUUCAAGUCAGUUUCUAAGUGAUUUAGCAAUCCCUCCUAAUCCCUGGCCUAGAACGAUCCCUACUUACAUACUUGCUACAAUUGAUAAAAAGAGGGUUUAAUUUGUGUGCUUAUAUAUUUCGCAUCAUGUACACACACCACUACCCACGUUUAAGGGUAAAACAGUCCUUUCACACCAUCGAUAAAUUAUCCCAGGACGGGCUGUGAUAAUCUACCCACCUUAUAAAAUUUCGCCCUCGAAUUCGAACAUUAAAUACAACCACUAAUAAUCAUAAAAGAACCUUGGAUACAUCUAUCUCAUCCGAUCUUCUGUCUCCCAAGUGGCCUCUUCCACUGAGUGAUUUCUCCACAAAACUUUCACCAAAUGCACUGUCUUAUUCCUCAGCUUCUAAUCCUUCCAAUCCAAAAUAGUCAUUGGCUCCUCAUUGUAAGUCAAAUCCGGAUUAAUUUCUAGAGGUUGAUGAGGUAUUACAUGAGAAGGAUCUGAGACAUAAUGUCGAAGCAUCGAAACAUUAAACACAUCAUGCACUUUGGACAACUCUGGAGGCAACUCAAGUCUAUAAGCAACUUCACCAACUCUUUCAGUGAUUAAAUACGGCCCGAUGUACCUAGGACUUAACUUUUUUCUAAAUAGCACAGCACCUCUCCAUGGUGAUAGCUUCAAAAACACCCAAUGACCUACUUUAUACACCUGGUUAGUGGCAUGCUUGUCUGCUAAGCUCUUUUGUCGAUCCUAGGCCACUUUUGAAGGGAAAUCUGUGAGAUUCAUGUGGGAUUUCUUAAUGACUAGCAUGCAUAUACAAUUCAAAAUUCAUAUACAUGAGCAACGGAAGCAUGUUAUCAUAUAAUAUCAAAGAUCUAGUCAUGCAAAUCCCCUUCAAGGUUCAUAGGUUUAUAUAUAAUGCAUCAAAACAUUUUAUAGAAUCAAGAACAAAGUGAAGGUUAGUCUUAUACCUCUUGAUCUUGAUUUUAGACCAAGCAUGGACCACCUCCAAGCUCUUUGCUCCUUGAAAUCCUUGAUGCUAGCUUCCCUCCUUGCCUCCUCCACUUUGUUAGAAUGAGUGCUCCUAGGUUCUCUUCAAGUUUCCAAAGUAGGAAACCUCUAAAGAUCCUCACCCACAAAUAUAGUGAGAAGGAUGAAGGAAUAACCAAAAGAGUGAAAGAUUGUUAGCUAAAACACUCUCUUUGGUGGCCGGCCCUUUGUAUAGUUUUUGGAGAGAUAUUCUUUUCUCUUUUGUUGUUCUAAACACCAAAAAAAUAACUUAAGGAAAAUAUCAAUAUAAAGUCCCUUAUAUAUCAAAGAAAACCUAGCCAACAAAUUGACUAAAUAUCUCACCCAAUCCACACCUAUAUGGCCGGCCUCUUUGUUGUUCUUUUUGGGCUUUGGGCUUUUACAAUUUCAAGUCAUCCAAUGCUUGAAUAAAAGCCCAAUGGGUUUAGGCCCAAUGGGCCCAAUUAAACCCGAACGUUUCUUUAAGCCCAAAACGAUCUUUAUCGCUUUUAUGAUUUCUUUAGACUUUCUAAAUUAAUCACAACAAUUAAUUAAUCCAAUUAAUCAUUUCCAUCAUCCAUUAGUUACUCACUACAAUAGUGUAUCGGUGAACAAUCUUUUAGGUUCUAAUUAGCAAGGCAGUGAGGUGAUCGGAACCAAUCCAAUUAAUUCAAUCACUUGUUGAAUUGAAACUUCAUUUCAAUUCACCAUUCUUCUUUGGUGGCUACAUUUAAUCAUCUAGAAGAACUCACAAGCUAUGAUUGACAUCUAACCAUAUGUCAUAGCUACCCAAGCUAAUGUAGAAGUUUAAUCGAAGAACUAUUCAGUUGGAAUUACAAUGUAAUUCGAUCCUUCUCUAAUACAAUACUCUCAAUCACAUCAUUAGGAUAUGGAUAUUAUGUCAAACCCCUAAUGUGAUUAUUCCUUCAUAUAUGAUUCAUUUGAGUCGUAUAGGAACGCUUUCCUUUUAAUACGCUCGAUACUUCGGCCGAAGAUUCCCGAAUCAUAUCUUAGAGUAUUCUUCCUCUCUUAUCGAGGAUUAGAGAUUCCUUGUUGCGCAUACACUUGCCUUCAUGACUAAGUGGCUUAACCCCAAUCAUGCCGUGGACACCCUCGAAUGGGGAGACUUUGACAUAAUCAAAGAUUAAGUACUUAACCACAAGACAACGACGAUGCCUCAGGUCUAAGGAUUACUUACAUCAUUCCAACCAUUAGAGUUACUUGCUUGACAUGUGAGUAGACCUCCAUGCAAGUACUCUCGUUCGAUUGUGUUUAGUGAACUCAUUCCCCUAAUGAGCACCUACAUACUUGUCUUAGUGUCACAACACGAAUGGGAUGAGA